rnacentral:rRNA from 1 species
GAUGAACGCUGGCGGCGUGCCUAAUACAUGCCAGUCGAGCGAACGGACGAGAAGCUUGCUUCUCUGAUGUUAGCGGCGGACGGGUGAGUAACACGUGGAUAACCUACCUAUAAGACUGGGAUAACUUCGGGAAACCGGAGCUAAUACCGGAUAAUAUUUUGAACCGCAUGGUUCAAAAGUGAAAGACGGUCUUGCUGUCACUUAUAGAUGGAUCCGCGCUGCAUUAGCUAGUUGGUAAGGUAACGGCUUACCAAGGCAACGAUGCAUAGCCGACCUGAGAGGGUGAUCGGCCACACUGGAACUGAGACACGGUCCAGACUCCUACGGGAGGCAGCAGUAGGGAAUCUUCCGCAAUGGGCGAAAGCCUGACGGAGCAACGCCGCGUGAGUGAUGAAGGUCUUCGGAUCGUAAAACUCUGUUAUUAGGGAAGAACAUAUGUGUAAGUAACUGUGCACAUCUGGACGGUACCUAAUCAGAAAGCCACGGCUAACUAAGU